UGAUUGAUGGUGCUUGCACCUGAUUGACGAUGGAUCACCAGUGAGUGGCGGACGGGUGAGUAACACGUAGGUAACCUGCCCCGGAGCGGGGGAUAACAUUUGGAAACAGAUGCUAAUACCGCAUAACACAAAAGCCACAUGGCUUUGUUUGAAGAUGGCUUUGGCUAUCACUCUGGGAUGGACCUGCGGUGCAUUAGCUAGUUGGUAAGGUAACGGCUUACCAAGGCGAUGAUGCAUAGCCGAGUUGAGAGACUGAUCGGCCACAAUGGAACUGAGACACGGUCCAUACUCCUACGGGAGGCAGCAGUAGGGAAUCUUCCACAAUGGGCGCAAGCCUGAUGGAGCAACACCGCGUGAGUGAAGAAGGGUUUCGGCUCGUAAAGCUCUGUUGUUGGAGAAGAACGUGCGUGAGAGUAACUGUUCACGCAGUGACGGUAUCCAACCAGAAAGUCACGGCUAACUACGUG
rnacentral:rRNA from 1 species